rnacentral:lncRNA from 1 species
AUGAGAAUUCGUCUGGAGAUUGAGGGGUUAGGGGUGCAGGCGGGAUGGGAGGACAGAGGGGAUUUCGCCACGGCCCGCCUGAGGGCGGCAGUUUGGCUGGACCGACGGAUAAUAAAAAUCGAAUGGCUGGGGCUGGAUCUGAGCGGUCGGAUGCCGCCUCACCCCACGGGCGCUCCGGGUUCGAGCUCCAGGAGACGGGCUGUGGGUCCCUGUCCAUCCGGGACGCCCGGGCCCGCUUCCAUAUUCGGCUGGGAGUGGACCAGAGCCCUAGGCCUCGGGGGUCGGGCAGACCGGCCUCAUCUCGCCCGACAUCCCCGGUGGGGCCGGCUCUACCCACGGGGGGAGGAUGCGCCGGGCUUUCCCCUCGACCCCGUCCGAGCCCCGGGAACGGCCGGGGCGCAGGGACUCGACCUCCGGGACCAGGGCCUCCCUGGGCCUGGAGCUGAGCGGUCGGAUGCCGCCUCACCCCACGGGCGCUCCGGGUUCGAGCUCCAGGAGACGGGCUGUGGGUCCCUGUCCAUCCGGGACGCCCGGGCCCGCUUCCAUAUUCGGCUGGGAGUGGACCAGAGCCCUAGGCCUCGGGGGUCGGGCAGACCGGCCUCAUCUCGCCCGACAUCCCCGGUGGGGCCGGCUCUACCCACGGGGGGAGGAUGCGCCGGGCUUUCCCCUCGACCCCGUCCGAGCCCCGGGAACGGCCGGGGCGCAGGGACUCGACCUCCCGGGACCAGGGCCUCCCUGGGCCUGGAGCUGAGCCGGCGCGGCCGCCCCGGGUCCCGGCCCCUCCGCCCAACGCUCGGGCGCGGCCUCCCGGCCCGCAGCCCUCCCGCCGCCCGGCUCCCCCAGGAGGGCCACGGUCGGCGCGGUCCGCCCCUCCGCCCCAUUCCCGAGGGACAAACCUGGGGGCCGCUACCCGGCAGGGCCGACCCGGCGAGGGAGAGGCGCGCGGCGGCGGCGGCGGGGCCCGCAGCGACAGCAGCCACCUCGGCCCUGCCGGCUCGGCGCCUCGCCCGCCCGCGGCCCCUGCGCCCCUUCCCCCGGCCGGCCCCACGCGCACCCCACCCUCCACGCGCGCGCCCAGCUCUGUUGCUCAACCUACUUGCAGCCUCUCCUCAUCGGUCAUCACCAGAUGCCCGGGAAGCCGGGGCCGCCCCAGGACCCGCUGGCGGGCGGCCGCCUCUCCUUCAGCCCCAGGCCGCCGCUAGGGCGCCGGGCGAGCGGGAGGCUCCCCCAUUGCCGCCCGCCCGCCCGCCGGCCACCCGCCGGGGCCCCGGCUCGGCCCGCCGCCCGCGCCGCCGCUCCGAGAGGAGGGCGAGCCAGUCUUGCCCGCGGCCGGUUCGCUCCUCGCCCACCCGCCCGCAGCCGCAGCCGCAGCCGCAGCCGCUGCGCCGCCGCUUCCUCCUCCCCUUUCCUCUUUUUCCUUCUCCUUCGCUUCGUCGGGAGCCGAGCUUGGCAAACCAGCACCUGCUGCUGGAGAUCACCGAGAACUGAAACAGGAAACCCCAAGCCCAGGGGAAAACCCGGGAGGCGUGGAGAGGGGUGAGGGGAGCUGCUGGAACCUGUCGGGCUCGACCGGGCCACUGCGGCCGCCCGAGGUUCCCGCGCCGCCUCGCCUCGCGCCCAGCCCGGGGGUCUCGACCUCCCCGCCCCGCUCCCCCCUGCCCGGGCCGUGCAGGCGCCCCUCGGCUCGGUUACACCUCCUCCAUCCAGCAAUAACACAGAUCAUUCCCUGGGCGGCCAAGGGAAUCGCUGUCUUCCUUUUCCCGUGCUUGUUUGCUUAUUAUCGGUAUUCCGUAAUGAGGGGGGGGAAAAAAACCACACCCGGCAUUAGCAAGACCAAUAAGGGAAUUUAUUAAUAAACAAAUGAAGCUGUUGGGAUUUCACCCAGGGGAAGAACUUCUUGCAGUAAGGAAACUGGCCCUGCUGGAAGUGGCAACAUGUCAAAAUGGAGGCGAAAGCCAGGUUGAAUCCAGAUCUCUUUCCGGAGGUUGGGAGGAGACAGCACCGAGGUGGGAGUUCCGAGUGUGAUAGCGCUGAGCGCAUCGGGCCUUUCUACUUCUGCAGAAUGUCCAACAUCCAGCACAACCUAGGCCAGCGUUUCAGCAAUGUUCAAAUCGUCUCACUCACCUGCCUGUGGAAUUGUCUCCUGACGCCUCACUCCUAGCCUUGGGCAGGAUGCCUGUACUUUCAGAGGGAGAGGGAAUUGUCUCCCUGAAUUGUGCCCCUCCCAGGGGUCACAGACCGGGCAGCUGCUUUAAGUGCCUUAUCUCAUUUAAGUGUCACCACAGCCACCUGAGCUAGGUGUUAUAAUCCCCUUUUUCCUACAGAAGACUGACCCUCCUUGCAUAGGAGGGAUCCAGGUCCGUCUUCAUCGAAAGCACAUAUUUGUUUCAGGGGACCUUGAAUCACACUUUUGAUCACACUAUUCACCUUUUAACAAAAUUAUUUCUUGCCUCUCUGAAUUGUUUUCAGUAGGGGCAUACUCGCUUUAAGCCUGGGUUCUGCUGAAUCUGAUUGGGCUGCUUAAUGGUAGUGAUAUCUGUGAUGCUUAGUGGGGUUCACACUUUCCAGUUUCUGUAUUAAAAAAAAAACCCUGUUUUUAUGGCUCAGGUGAGCAGUACAGAUGCCUCCACCUCUCUGACCAGCAUCUGUUACUCUAGCUAUGGAGGAUACGGGGGUCCCAGCUGAGAGUGUCCUGCUGGCUGGUGUUCAUGGCACAAUGACACUGCAAGAGGAAAGGCGAGCAUCUCACUGAGUCUGCUUUCCGCUACAGGAGGCCAAGUCUUGGGGCCUAGUAACUGAAAUAGUAGACCAGCAGGCCUCUUUGGGGGCAUAUGUGAAUUCUGUGGUCUACAUUUUUAGUACCGCCUUAGGAAGUUUGGCAACCUGCUCUCUGCAGCCAGGUCAGUUUGAAUUGGCAGUGAGGGAGGGAUGCUUGGGAAAGCAUUCCAUGCUCUCUGAGCCAAACCCUCAGAAGUCUCUUGAGCAGUAUUAGGGAGUGGCAGGGACUUAGAAAGAGGCUGGCUUGCUGACAAUAGUAAGUGAUGGCAUCUGUGACAUGAUUUUAGUGAUGCCAGGAAGUUCCCCUACUCCACAAUAAUACCACCCACAUUGUCUAUCUUACUUCCCUCAAUUGACUCAACUGAAUUCCGCUCAAUAUUGAUUUAGCAUGAUUGUGUACUAUAUUAGGUACUUUGGAGGUGAGAGAUAGCAAGAAGUAUUAAAAUAGACAUUUAGUGAAUGUUCACUAUGUUCCAGGCACUAUUCUGAGCACUUUGCAUAUAUUCUUUCACAUAGCACCCACAAAACCCCUAUGAGGGAAUAACUAUCACUGUUUCCAUUUCACAAAUGAGAAAACUGAGACCAAGGUUAAGGUCAGUAAAUAACAGUACAAAGAUUAAAACACAGGCAGUUUAACUCUACAGUUCAGAGCUCAUUAUGUGAAUGAUACAGUAACCAGCCUUAGUUACCUUACUAUGUAGUUGGGAGAUAAAAACAUGAAAGUUAAAAGAAGACAAAAUAAUUUUUAAGUUUUAAAUAUGUGUCAUGGGUAAUAAAGGCAAUGAAAGUUCAGAAGACUAAUAGAGGAAUCACUUUAGACUGGAAUGGAUGAAAGAUAGGGUUUCAAAAGGGGGAGAUUUAAACUGGAUAAUGAAGAUGGAUAGUACUUUGAUAAGCAGAGAGGAUAAGGAAGGGCAUAUGAGUGAAACAGCGUAAGCAAAAAUAGAAUGCCAGGGAAAUCUGAAAAAUAGGGAUUAAAAAAAGCUGGAAAGGGAAAGUAGGGCCAAAUUACACAGAGAUUUACAAAUGAGAGAGGGAGAGAGAGAGAGAUGGGGAGAGAGACAGACAGAGAGUUUGAGCUCAUGUUGCCUUUAUACACAGAGGGAUCUGUGAAGGGUUUUGAACAGAAGGUAACAUGGAGAACAUUUCUAAUUUAGUAAAAUCAAUAUUGUAUUGGUUACUGGAUGGUUUGGAAAGGGGAAGGAUUGACGCAGGGAAACAAGUUUGAAGGUCAGAAUGGGAGAACAGAGGGGAAUGAAGAAAUCAUGAGGGAGGGAAUGAAGGAACCAAUUAGUGAGACAUUGUGACAAAAAUCACUGAGACUUUGUAAAUGAUUGGAUACACUUAAUGGAGACUAACCUAAGAAAAAGGAGAAGUCGAAAAUGACUUAGGAGUAUGAAUAUGAAACCUGUAAUAUCUCUGACUGGAAAAAAGGGAAGUCUGGGGAUAGAGGAACUACUGUUUUGAGCACAUGUUUAGAGGAGUUUGGGUUUAGGCAUGCGUUUGUGGUAAUAGUGGAGAUAUACUUGGGGAAGUGUUUCAUAGCUUUAUCUAGAAAAGGCAAAAAGUUGGGUUAGUGAGGCUUUUAUUUGCUACUGAGAGAGAAUAAGUAUGAACGUUUUAUAUGGUCACAAUUAUAACAAUAACCAACCACGGUGUUCAUCUUACGUAAACCAGAGUUCAAACAAUAUUUCAAUCCUUCUGUGGCUCUGAGAUAAAUAAACUUUAGGGAAUUCCUCUUCUCUUUACUCCAAGUUCUAUUUACUUGAAAGGAAAAAAAGAUAUAUAAGGAAAGAAAUUUCAUGGCUCCAGAGAAUGUCAGAUUGAUGAAAGAAAACUUAAGAGAUCAUUAAACCUGACCACAAUUUUCAGUUUGCAAAUGGUGAAACUGAGGAUCAAAUUUUGAAUGUCUGAUAUUAAAACUUCAAAAAUAGGCAUUAGGCAAAUAUGGCACAUUUGCUAAUUAUCAAUGCUGGAUUGCACAUUUGUAUUUUAUAAAAGCAGCCUGGACCUUGAAUUGUGAGUUUGAAUUGCAUAUAAUUAAAGAAUUUGAGAGGCUAUGGAUCCAUAAUAGGCAAAGACUUGGGACAGUCUCAUCAAUUAAAAGCAAAUAUUUGGAAAGAACAGGUUGGAGGCAGAAGGUGGGAGGAAGAAUGGUGGCAACAGCAGAACUUCUUUAAAACGUACUCCCAGGUAGACGAUCUCACACGGAGAUUCAUAUUUGAACCUAAAAAGACCGAGUUUCAGGAGCCCAUCACACCUUACUUGGCUGCCUCAUCAUCCAGAUGCCCAGUCACCUUGUCUAAGACCUCUAGGAGCUUCAGAAGUGAUGGCCCAUAGGUCACCUUCAGGUUCAGAACUGGUACACACCCCUGAAAACUACUUCUAGUUCUAUCUGGAGCUUUACUAGUGGUGCCCUUAGGAAUAUUCUCAUCCCCUGCUACACGUGGGGAUGAGAAUUAUUUUCUCUGUUCUCACAUCUCCUGCUUUAUCAGUUAUGCCAAAACACUUACCUUAGUUGAAGUGAUGUUACUAGACCGUUGGAUGCAUCUUCUCCAGCAUUUUGUCCAGCACUUGAUUUCCUCUGAUGGAAGAGCUUCAUCUAUCCAGAUGACUACUGUGACUUUUCAUUCACAGUUUCUUUUAUGUCUUUCAGAGAAGUUCUGGUUAAUUCCAACAACCCAUGAUAUGUAAUGCUUCCUUAGUGUUAUUACUCUAAACGGCCACUUCCCCAGCACAUAAUCUGUGUAAGAUGGACACAGAAGGAUAAAACACUUCUUUUCUUUAUACUACAGUGACUGGUUAGAGUUGCUUUUUAAUACUGAGUUCUUAGGGAAAGGAAACUAGAGGGUAUGAGAUAUGAGCUGUUGGCCAAUCCCACGACUUCUUUCUUUUGAUGAGUAACCACUGGAUUCAAUAUCAGCAGCAUGACUCUUGUUUUCAGCAUGUGGGAAGUCAGACAGCAAGAUUUUUAAUAUGCUUGUGUCAUACAGUUGUGUGAUUAUUCUACCUGAGCUGGACAGUGUGAUUGUACUCAUUUCACCGUAUUUGACCAACAUAGGAAUUUUGAAAAAACAAACAUUUAAGAAAUACUUCUAAGGUGACAUUUUGCCAUCUUGACAGGGACCACACCUAUCAUUGCAGUUCAUCCGGCCCCAAAGUUUUAAAAUUGCUAUUUCAACAUGGAUUUUCAAAUGUACUAAAAGCAUCCUCAUCACCUCUGCAAGCAUCUGUUGUUUUAGAAGGAAGCAGGCAUGUAGAAUUACAAAUGUACAGAAGUGAAAGAGUUGGAAACAGAAUUAUGGAAUUUCUAGGUUAGAGUACAUUUUAUGUUAAAAGGCUAAAUCACAAGACUACUAAUUGCAGCAUUACUUGCAAAGUCAAAAAAAUUAGGAUCAACUUAAAUGUACAUUAAUAGGAAACUAUUCAAAUAAGUUGUAAUGUUGCCAUAUAAUAGGGUGCCAUUCACCUAUGAAAGAGAGUGAAGUGGUCCUGUGUGUGUGGAAUAAACUUCAAGACCCUUUGUUUAUUGGAACAGUAAGGGAAAACCAGUGUAUAUAGAAUGCUAUUAUUUGUGUGAAAGACAAAGAAUAUAUGUUUGCUUACAUAUGCAUAUAAAAUCUCUGGGAGGAAAC